rnacentral:pre_miRNA from 1 species
CAACUACUCCCUCUGUCCCAAAUUUCUUGUCUUAGAUUUGUCUAGAUAUAGAUGUAUCUAAUACUAAAAUGUGACUUGAUACAUCCGUAUCUAGAUAAAUCUAAGACAAGAAUUUUGGGACGGAGGGAGUACUUU